rnacentral:rRNA from 1 species
AGUGAACGCUGGCGGUAUGCCUAACACAUGCAAGUCGAACGGCAGCACAGUAAGAGCUUGCGCUUACGGGUGGCGAGUGGCGGGCGGUUUAGGAAUACAUCGGAAUCUACUUUUGCGUGGUGGAUAACGGAGGGAAACUUACGCUAAUAGCGCAUAGGAGCUACGGGUGAAAGCAUGGGAUCUUCGGACCUUGCGCGAGCCAAUGAGCGGUUGGCGGAUUAGCUAGUUGGCGGGGUAACGGGCCACCAAGGCGACGAUCCGUAGCUGGUCUGAGAGGAUGAUCAGCCACACUGGAACUGAGACACGGUCCAGACUCCUACGGGAGGCAGCAGUGGGGAAUAUUGGACAAUGGGCGCAAGCCUGAUCCAGCCAUACCGCGUGGGUGAAGAAGGCCUUCGGGUUGUAAAGCCCUUUUGUUGGGAAAGAAAAGCAGCAGGUUAAUACCCCGCUGUUCUGACGGUACCCAAAGAAUAAGCACCGGCUAACUUCGUG